UUUUUAGCCCACAGACUUUAUAAACACAAGAUGUAGCUGUGGUGUUUGUGGCUUAACAGCACCGUGGUGAUAGGUGUGUUUAUUUUGUUUUUUUGUGCUCUGACAGGUGAAAAUAAGGGUGUCCACCCAGCUGUCAUGUUUACGUCACUGCUAACCUGAGCAGGGGGCAUCUCGCUUUCUUUAACCUUAUAAAAGUGGGGAGGGCCAUCGGUUUGUGCUUGAACUGGAUACCAACACAAAAAACAGAACCAGGGAUGACAACAAACACAGUUACUGUUACUAACUGCUCUCCUCAAGCUGCCAAUACUCGACUAUAUCUUUAUGGCUACGAUAUAAUUUGUUCAAAAACCUGGUGUAUAUAACCUUUAAGAGUCACCCUGACGCUCGAUGAAAUUCAAAAACACAGGAAGGGUCAAGUGAUGGUGGAAGCUGGUGAGGCCUUACCUUUAAAGUACUGGACAUCAGAUGUGAGGGCGGUGCUUAAGUCGUUGGAGGACACCUGCAACAAUCCAGCAACUGUGGCGAGACAGACAAAGAGAGAUAAUGGCAGAGUAAAUGACACUGACAUGAUGACAGGAUGAAACCGAGCAUCAGAGACGUGGUGCUGAUUCCAUCCCGGAAACACAAUCAGGGGACAGGCCUUCAGCCAUCAGAUAGAAGAUGUUGAAGUUGUGCUGGUGUGGAGCCGGUUGGACCAGACGAGACUUCUCCAACAUGUACGUGUACACACGGGCUUUAACACCAAAUAAGACGCAGACUUCAAUAACAGAAGGUGCAAAUACAAGUUUUCAGCAGUGUUAAUUAUAAUUGUCAGCCCUGAACAUUGAAUUUGUGUCCACUGUUCAACAUCAAGUGCUCUCUGAUCAAAUUCACUGAGGUAAUUUAAGGUCAGCAUGGUUGUAAAAAUGGAACGCUGGUACAAAACAUAAGACUGUACUUCCCCCUGUUGGUGAUAACAUAGCAUUGCACCUGAUUCGAAACUAAAACUACACCUUUACUCUAUCUGAGCCUCAGUAACACUAUGCGUGUUAUAUGGUUUAUAUUCACAGCCACUGCACUAUUAUCAUAAAGUUAGGGAUCCUCACUUGGCUAUAAAUAUAUAAUUGUUUUCAAAUAAUCACAAAUAAAUGGGAUAAAAGAUCUACAGAAACUGUUGAUUUUCUGUAUAUAAAAAACAAAACAAAACUAGGAUGAGGUAAUUUUGAGAAUUAAUUACAAUGUUGGGACACCAUCAACUUUCCGUCCUUCUCCUGUCUCUCAUGUGGAAUAAAAUUCAUUCUAAAGUGGCUUCAGGGAGAAUCUAGACUGCUUUACUUUUUGCACACUUUAUUUUGUUGUACAUUUAAAUCCAGAUGGUUAAAAAUGCCAUUUUGAUCAUCUGCAAGUGAAGACAUGUUUUUAGAAACUUACAAAUCAGAAUAAAAAUACAAAUUACAAUUUCAAUAGGGCCUCCCACCGUCGGUGCUCGGGCCCUAAUAAUAAUUCCCUUCAUGCAGGACUUUGUAGAUUCCCUUUUGGUAACAUUUACAGUUUCAGGUCUUUUAAGACUAAUCCUUCAAGCUUUGAACACCUGGUUUUGUGCAGGUUAUCUCACUUUCCCUUGCACAUCCUUUUAUGCUUCGUCACAUUGGAUAGGAAGUGACUGACCUGCCAUCUCCAGGUCUCUCCUCAGAUCUUGAUCUAUAGUAUGUAAAUCUGGGAUUUGGUUGGACCACUCUAGGACUGUCACACUUGUCCCAAAGCCACUCCUGCAUUGUCUUGGCUUUAGCUUCAUGUUGUUGUCAUGCUGAACGGGGAACUGUUUCCUCAGUCUCAGGUCGUGUGCACAUUUUGGCCUCAUUCUUUUCUCAUUUCUGACCAGUCUUGUUGCUUCUGCUGCUCAGAAUUACCUUAUAGAAUGAUGCUGCAACCACCACGCUUCACCACAGAAAUAGUCUGGGUGAUGAGGAGUUACAUUUUUGUCUCACCCGAGAAUCUGUCUCCUCAGACUCUCAAAGUCACUUGAAUAGCGAUUGUAAAAAAAACUAAAAACAUAUAUUUGAUUUGUCAUUUUAUCUAUUUUAAUCUAGAACACUAAAAUGUGCAGUAAGUAAAGGAGUCAGAACACUUUCUGAUAAGCCACUGAAUAUGCUUGUAACUAGUUCACUGCUGCAGUGACAGAAAUGUAGUUUACCUCUGAGCGGUGUCCUCCUCUUGUCACAGUAUUGAAUGGUCAACAACUUGAUAAAGCGGCUUGAGCUGAUGUUCCUUUGGGUUUUUGCAUGACCAAAGGCCUCCAGAAUACAGUUCACCUGUGUAUUAUAUCAAACCAAAUGAAAAUGUAACAGCGUUUACAACAUCUUUUAGAACUGAAUAGAUAUGUUCUCUGUUUUUAUAUCAAUCAAUUGAUCUUAUGUAUCUCUUACAAAGGUUUCUAGAGAUGAAACAAAAUUUGUUGUACUCCCAUUCCACUUUUUACCACUAGAUGUCAAUAUGCAUCCAUAAUCUUGGUUCUCUGUGUUAAUUCUGUCCCAGGAUGAUCAGAGAGCGAGCUGACCCAGAUAUCGAAGACAUAAUGAUGACUUCAUCAGAACACAGCACUUGUGUUUCCAGGCUAUAAACUGAAUUUUUACCCAACUGACAGGCUGAGUGCAGAGCAGGUGAAUCAUGUGUUAAGCACCACCAAUGAAGACAAGAAGAGGCAGUGACAAAAGUGCUGCCCUAGAUUACAGAUUCGUCUUUUCUUUCUUUCCGUUUUUCAGAUACAGCCAGAGGAAGGACGCUAAACUCUAAGCCCUUUUUGUCUCUCCAAACAUUUCAUGCUUAUUAUCUAUUCUGACAAAAUGAAUGUAGUUGUACUUUGUUGAUCUUUGCACUCCACAAUCAAUUCUCUAUAUAUUGGCUGAAAGGAAGUAGAAAAAUGCGCUCCCAUCUAAGAAUAUCAAAGAACAAUUUUCUCUGCUGCGAAAGGUUCAGUCAUAAAGAGCCAGCAUCACAGAGAUAGAUAUUUAUAAUGAUGCAAUCAAACAUCAGAGUGCUCAAAUGAUGUCUAUGACAAAUAAGCAGCUAUUGAGCAGUAAGGAGGAGACCACAAGCGAUAGCUCAUAAUGUGCUCUGCUAAUCCAUACCUCUAUUGUUAUAGGAACAGCAGGGUUCAGUGAGUGCUAUCUGGCUUUUUUAUAGCAGGGGUAACAUGAGGGAAGGAACAAUAAGCACAAAACAGGAUGCAAGAUUCAGCCAGUGCCUCAGUUUGAAGAGCAUAACAAAUAUUCAUGAGUUUCCCUCGGAGGAUUCAUUGUGUACUACAUAGCAUAGAAACAAAAUUAAUAAACAAUACAAUAACAUUAUUUUCUAGCACUUUUUUGCAAAGUCGAAGCAAAGAAACAAGGUCAUAACAGCAAUAAAGGAUUCAAAACUCGUUGCCCAGGACUCUGCAGUUACAACUGAAGACUGCUUGAAGUGUCAAAUAGAAGAGUAUCCUACACACAGACAGGUCCAGACUUACGUGUCUCAUUCUGGGAUCCAGUGAAAAGCCUUUGGGGCUGGAGCGGGCUGUCAGGUGUCUCACUAUGUGUUUGCAUGCCUCUGAUUUUCCAGACCCACUUUCACCACUAAAGACACAAAGACAUAAAAAUGUCAUUUAUAUUUUAGGCAUUGUUACAUGUCUUAUACUGUUUGGCUCUAAUCUGAUUCCAUAUGAUAUAAAAAAGGAAGAAAUAACCUAGUUUAUAUGUGGAUACUUGCAUUUCAUUCAAAAUAAAGAGACAUUUUAUUAAAAGCAUUAAAGGAAAUCAAAAAUCAUGCAACUUCGUGUGUUCCACUGCUGUGUGUGUCUCAAAAGAAUAGGUGUGAUGCUGUAGUCAUCAGGGUGUUUCCUACACGUCACCUCAGUGACAUGUUUCCACCCUCCUGACAUCAUGCCUUCAGAGACCCUUUACACUAAACCUACAAUAUGUGUCUCUUUGCAACACUAAAACUAACAUUUCUCUGUUGACCAGCAAUUUUCACACGCUGUUACUGCCACAAAUGAUCUGACACUGGAGGCCUGUUUUUAAUUUGGCAUGGAGUGGAUAUUAAACCUGGCAUAGGGUAACUCUACAGUACACGCUCUGACACUUACCGUCAUGCAGCGAGCUGAGACCAGCAUAGUUACACCAAGCAGAUGGCUUCAGAAGGUCAGAAGCCCUUGCUAAUGACGGCACUGUGCUGUGGUACCCUGUUUGUCUGCCAGCAGAUGUGUACCAGUGCUGUUGGUGGCUUUAGGAAAGUGAAGGAGGAUGGGCUGUGGACCACCAGACCAGAGGGGGGUGACAGACGGCCAGCAGAUCACACAUGUUAUGACAUAUGUCCUCCUGAGUCUGGCUCCUCCUUGCUCCUCCACACAGCCUCUCUCUCAGUUGGGUUUAGAUGCCUGGAGUGAAUCCAGACACAGGCAGGAAUAGGACAACCGGGGGGGGGGCUUGGCUUCAAUGUGUCAUGGCAAUACAAGACAUCUACUCCUCCAUUCAACACCUUCUGGACCCAGAUGGGCACACUCCAGACUGGCAUUAAUUCUGCUAUUUCAAACAUGACCAAUCUUCUAUUUAAAAUAAUGUGAAACAUGUUACACCUCCCUGUACAAAAUGAUCAAUUUGUUUAAAGAACCAGUGCCUCUUAGUCAUCAACUGUCUACCCUUGCUGUUGAAUAGUGUUGAAUAUAAUGCUUUUCAUCUUCAGUGAUCAUGUUCUCUUCAUAGAGGACAGGUAGCGUAAUAAACUCUAUGUGACUCUGAGCGCGAGUGUGUGUGUGUGUCUACCUAAACUGGAUCCUUCUAUUUCCCGGCUGAUGCAGAGUCAGC